UCAGAUGGACACAAGCCACGGCCAUGGCUCAGCUGCAAUCUAGCAGAGCACUUGAGCAUGGGCUGUAGCUCAGGCACCUCAAAGAGGAUUGUUGCUCUGCAAGAGGGGCUGCACUUCUCUGUGUGGCUCAGCAGCUCCAGCUGCAGCACGCAGGCUGGAUGAAAACGUCUCCGAACGUUGGGCAUCUGAUUCAGGUCAGCAAUAUAUUAUGUCAGUUUUCAGGUAGCCCUAGGAGGUCACACAAUACACUGCCUAUUACAAUCCAUAUGUUUUAAAGCAGGUUUGUAACAAUUUCCUAAAAUACUUUUAGGAGGAAGUCUUUAAACUAUUGGAACUUGCAAACAGAAAUAUUGAAAUUAACAAUUAACAACUGGAGGAAUUGUUUAAACUUCAUGGUGGGCUGGCCCUGAGAUUAAUUCUGAGCUGAAAUUUCUUCAUCUUUCCCGUUAUUUCUGAAAGUCACCUUUUGUUAAUUAAAAAGCAGAAACAGAACACUAUUUCUGGACAACUUUGUUUUAGUAGUGCUAAAUGUGAAACUAGGAGAAAUACUCCUUAAAGAAGUUGUACUUAUGUUUAAAAUUAAAUAAUCCACUUAAAAUUAUUCAUGCCAUGUUAGGAUCAGAGAACAAAAUUCUACAAACAUAGAUUGGAUGUACUCACGUCUCAGAUAUCUUCUGAGUUUGUAAAGCUAGAGUAGGUAUUCACUGAACACAACUGGCAACCAUAAGUACUGAAAAUCAAAUGAUUAUUUUAGAUGGUGGAAACAAAUAAGGCUCUGUGGAAACAGUCUUAACCCCUUUUUUUCUUUUGAGAAGGAGAAGCCGAACUUGGGCCUUCGCUCCCUCUAGUGUACAGUAGCAUCAGCUCUGUAAAUGAUGCUGAUCUUUUGUCUUUUUUGUUUGUUUCUAGAUGUAAACAUAGUGUCAGCACACUGCAGAUCUAGAGUGGAAGUUCUUUCAUAGAUCUGUAGAAUACAUGCACAUUCCGCCCAAGCCUUAUUUAACAGAGGGUCGAGUUUUACAGAUAACACACUAAAAGCUGUAUUAUGCCACAAAAACAAGUGCAAGUUGCAGUGGCUGUGUUAAAAGGCAGGAGAAAUCUCCUGUGUUUUCUCUAGCCUGCAUUACUCUUGAUGGAGUAUGAUACUGAAAGAAAACUGAGUGGCAGAGCCAUUGAGAUUCCAUUGCUUGUCAAGAUUUCACGCUGCUCACUGAGAUUAGAUGCAGGACCAUAUGCUGGUAAGAUAAUUUGAAAACUCCUAUGUCCUGUAUGCAAUGGUAGCUACAACUCCUAACGCUUAAUCAGAUACAUCUGCUGCUGGGAACAGUUUUCCAUAUAUUGUUAAAAAGAAGGGUUUGUGUCGGAGGGGGAAGAGAAUGAUGUGACACCGCUAGUUCAAAGGAAUGCUGUCUAAGAAAGAACUAUGUCUAAGGAAAGGUGACAUUUUUCUGAAUUUGUAGUUUAAGCCAUAAAAAAGGAUGAAAAGCAAAGAUUUUUUUAUUGCUAUUUAAAAACUUCCCAGAUCUCCUGCUCUAUUUAAAAACUUCCCAGAUCUCCUGCUCUCUUGCAGAAGCUGCGUGUCUGUAGCAAUUGCAGCAUGCUAUAUGUUUGUGUACAGGAUACGUACAAGGCUAUGAAGUUACAGUACAUCUCCCAAAGUGUUAUAGCAGGAGAACUUCUGCUAAAUUUUGCAUGGCAAGAAGUGUAAGACCCACUCCUCCACACAGUGUGCAAAUUGACAAUGAAAUUUGAGAUCUGUGAUAUCUUAAAUAAUGAUCAGAAUGAAAUGGCAGCUGUAAAGGUGAGCGUCCUACUGUACUGUUAUGUCAGAAUACCUUGCAAUUGACCAUAGUUUUUUUGUGCAUUAGUCUGUUUUUAUACAGUAUUUCUAGACAGGUGUUUUCUUACAGGACAGCCAGGAGCGUUGCUGUCACUCUGAAUGUUGCAGCUGGUUAAAUCAUAGAAUCAUUAAGGUUGGAAAGACCGACAAUGUCAUCUAGUCCAACCAUCAACCUAUGCCUGUGAUUGUUCUAGCCUAUGUCACUCAGUGCAAUGCCUGUCCUUUUCUUGAACACCUCCAAGGAUGGUGAUUCCACCACUUCCCUUGGCAGCCUGUUCCGAUGCCACUCUUUCUAAGAAGAAAUUUUUCCUAAUAUCCAACCUAAACCUCCCCUGGCGCAACUUGAGGCCAUUCCUUCUCAUCCUGAUGCUGUUACCCAGGAGUAGAGGCUGACCCCACCUCGCCACAACCUCCUGUCAGGCAGUUGUGGAGAACGAUUAGGUCUCCCUGAGCCUCCACUUCUCCAGACUAAACAAUCCCAGUUCUUUCAGCUACUCCUCAUAAGACUUAUGAGUAGAGAACAUAAGGCUCUAGUCUCAUAUUACUAUUAAAGUCUAAAUGCACUGCAAUAUUAAAAUCAUUAUGGUUAUUAAUAACCAUUCAGAUAGUAACAAUACUAUAAGAAAUAAUGAACUGUCUGAAUUAGCAAUUAAGAUAUUGUAUUUGAUUUGCAAAAAGAAAAGCCUCAUUGUAUGGAUAUUCUUGGUUUACAGAGGAAGAGGUAACACAAACGAUCAUUGUUAGGCUUUUCAUUUUGGUGCUUGUUGUUUAAUAUGUGCAAAUUGCUGUUCUGUCUGCUCAUGAGAAUGCUGUUUGCACAAACGAAUAGCAUACCCAAGCAGGAAUGUGCAAGGCGAGAGCAUAGGCUUCCAUGCCAGCAUGCUGAUUGAAUUAAAGAAUUUCAUGAAGUGUGGCAGCAGGAGUGCUGAUGAACUGCAGACAUGUUUUUAGAGCUGGCUGCAUAUGCUUGAGAACAAUACUAAGAACUCAAAAAGUUUACCUUAUUUUGACCUCAAAAAAGUAAAUGUGACUGUCUGAAGGUUAACAGGCUAUAAUGGAUAUGUUCUUAACAGUGUAGUUGCAGUAAUUCUAUCUUAUUUGUAAAUACCUGAGGUUCUUGAUGUAAUGGGUCUACGUUGAGAAAUAAAGCUGAGUCAGCAAAUGAGUACAGUGAACUGCAUUCAAAACAAUUGCCAUCUGUUUUUUUAUAUCCUUUCCUAUAAAACUGGAAGGCUGAUUUUUCCAAAUGCUACAAUAGAAAUUAGGCAUUCCUGUGUUUUAGUGUGGUUGCUUUUAAGUUGUUUACAACUGCAGUAUACAUGCUGUCUCCCUUUCAUACUCUAAAGCUUCCUCAGAUUAUUUGCUGAAAUGAAAUAUUUUCAGGAUACAGGCAAGACUGAAUCUUUUAUUCUUCCUUAGGGGUAAGCAAUCAUUACUUAGGCCUUCCUUAAUGUUGUCUUCAGUAACUACAUAUGCUGUACUUUUAUUUCAGUAAUUUGUUAUUAAGGUCAAUUUUACCAAAGAGAAAAAGGAGUGGGAUGGCAAGGGAAUAAUAGUUAUUGCUUAAUGAAAAAGGGAAGAAGAAAAAAAAAAAAAAAAAGGCUUGUAAGCUUUAACUCACACACAAUCUUUUUCCAGAUAAGGACAAGAAAAACUUCACCUCAGAUGUGGACUCCUACGAAGCAUUGGCAAGACUGACCCGAUGUCUGCUGUGUUCUCCACCUCCGCUGUCUGCUGCACCCCAGUAUGUGGAAGGGAUACAGUGGGUGCGCAGGCUGUGGAAGCAGCCCAUGGGGCAUUCCCUGGGGAUGAGGACAGAAGAGCCUGUGACUUCAGAGGAGGUUUUGCAGGCCAUUCUGAGCACUGCGCUUAUGGACAUGGUUAUGCUGUUCCUGUACACUGACCUGACUACUGGAGCAGAGGGAGCUGAACACGCCUGCAAGGCUCCAGCUGCCUUCUGGCCACAGUGUGGGUGGUGUGUGGGCACCAUCCUUCCUUCCUGAGAACCUCCAUCUACCCCACAUCCGCUGAGGAGUCCUGUGAGGGUUUGGUCUUGGGCCUCAGCCCUCGCUUCUUCUUCCUGCUCUCUUUUGGGGUCUGAUGCACAGGGCGUGUGUUAACUUUAGUAUUAUCAGGUGAAUAUUUGGGGUAUCGAUAUUUUCCAUAGUAGCUUGUGAGGUGUGGGGCUAUAUCAAUAGAAUUACCUGAGUGGGAAGAGUAAUAACCACUUAAAUCUUUCCUGCUACUGAUGAGAGGGCAGAGAACUGGGUCACAGCUGUAGCAUGUGAAGAAUGACCGGGUAGUUACAGAGAGACUCAGGGAACAAGCAGCAUGGAUUUGUCACCCAGCCUCAGAGCAGGGCACCUGGAAAAUGCUGCAACACAAAUAUCAGGGAGUUCAGACACACAGCAAGAGAUUUCCUGACCUUAGUUAGCCUUACAUACUUACCACAUCUCUUCAUGUAAAAGCCAUCACGGCAGCACUCUGCCCAGGCCGGGAGGUCUGUCCGUCCCCUGCUGCUGCUCUGCAAGAACAUGCUCUCUGUUUGCUGCUAGACCGUGUUCUCUUGGGUCCCUACCACCGAAGGAAAACAAAUCUGUUUACAAGAAACAAACAGCUUUGCGUGAACUACAGCUAUGAGCUGCCAACUGCAUGUUCUUCCAGCGCAGAAAUGCAUAAUUUCCCACCAUAAAGGGCUCAGUACAGCUCCAGGGGUGUGUGGCUAUGAGAUCAUGUCACUCGGGACUAGGAAGCACCAGACUGUGCCCUGUGUCUUAUAAAUACAGAUGUGUGAUGAUUAUCUCAUGAUAACCAUCAGAGUUCCUGCUGCAGUUAUACUUCUAAUAAUGCAUCCUUCUGAAGUUUCUCAGUUGGGAUCACACUGUGCUUAGUGCUGGAGCAAACCGCUGUGCUCAGUGCCUGCUCUGCUGAGCAGUGACCGGGAUCCUGGUGCUGCACGUGCCGUGGGAAGAAGCGGCUGUGAUGUGUUCCUGAGCUCCAGCGAUGUGUGGAACCAGGAAGUCAGAUAAUUUCCAGUUGGGAUGAGAGAUAAUAAUGCUUAAACCACUAACAUCACUAAAUAUGGUUGCAAGAGAUUAGAUAAGAAUACCCUUAUUGUCAACCACAUUCCUUUUCCUAUUACCAGAUGAUUACUGUUCUUUCUGUGUGUUUCUUUAUAUAUGUUCAUCGUCUAGAGUCUAGGAAGGCUGCAGCUGCAGCAGAAGUGGAAGCACAUGGGAAAAUGACUCACCUCCCAGGGGCUAGACAUGGAUUUUCAACCCAGCAAAGCAGAGGAAAAAUGACAUGAAGGUGGAGUGUUGUGCUACUUGAGGAACAAAAUGUCACGGCAAAUAACUGCUUCAAGUCUGGUGUAUUCUUUAACAGACUUGUAGGCUGUGAAGUAAGUGAAGAAAAUGUGCUUAUUGUUUCAUUAUAAAAGGUCAAGUGUACCAAACACCUUAAGCAGCAAAUGAUCUAAAGGUUACUGUGGUUAGAGUUGAUCUGUGCCCUGCUCUGCAGUAAGUUUUAAGAGGUUGUAAGAGAGUCGCUUUUGCCUUAUGCUGCUUACAGACUCCUGUGCUCUCCCCACUGAGAUGGAAGAAAUCCCCUGCAGACGCACCAAGUCUUCUUGCAGUGCCAGCACAGGAAUUGCAAUGUCCUGCAGGAAGGACCUCUGCCAAGUGGUUUUGCUCUGUUUGUGGCCGUGUGUGACUCAGGUCCUGGCUACAUGAAGGCAUUUUUCCACUGCAGUUUGAGUAACAUUCGGGUGGUAUAUCCAAAUUCAUCUGAAACAAAGCUUGUUUCAAGGAUUGGUUCAAUCUGUCUCAAGUCUCUUUAGACUUCCAAAAAAUCCCCAUUAUGACACUGGUAU